GACGAACGCUGGCGGCGUGCUUAACACAUGCCAGUCGAACGGAAAGGCCCUGCUUUUGUGGGGUGCUCGAGUGGCGAACGGGUGAGUAACACGUGAGUAACCUGCCCUUGACUUUGGGAUAACUUCAGGAAACUGGGGCUAAUACCGGAUAGGAGCUCCUGCUGCAUGGUGGGGGUUGGAAAGUUUCGGCGGUUGGGGAUGGACUCGCGGCUUAUCAGCUUGUUGGUGGGGUAGUGGCUUACCAAGGCUUUGACGGGUAGCCGGCCUGGGAGGGUGACCGGCCACAUUGGGACUGAGAUACGGCCCAGACUCCUACGGGAGGCAGCAGUGGGGAAUAUUGCACAAUGGGCGGAGGCCUGAUGCAGCAACGCCGCGUGCGGGAUGACGGCCUUCGGGUUGUAAACCGCUUUCGCCUGUGACGAAGCGUGAGUGACGGUAAUGGGUAAAGAAGCACCGGCUAACUACGUG
rnacentral:rRNA from 1 species